UUGCCCUAGUAACGGCGAGUGAAGCGGCAACAGCUCAAAUUUGAAAUCUGGCCUCGGCCCGAGUUGUAAUUUGUAGAGGAUGCUUUGGGCGCGGCUCCAACUGAGUUCCCUGGAACGGGACGCCACAGAGGGUGAGAGCCCCGUAUAGUUGGAUGCCUAGCCUAUGUAAAGCUCCUUCGACGAGUCGAGUAGUUUGGGAAUGCUGCUCAAAAUGGGAGGUAAAUUUCUUCUAAAGCUAAAUAUUGGCCAGAGACCGAUAGCGCACAAGUAGAGUGAUCGAAAGAUGAAAAGCACUUUGAAAAGAGGGUUAAAUAGCACGUGAAAUUGUUGAAAGGGAAGCGCUUGUGACCAGACUUGCGCCGGGCGGAUCAUCCGGUGUUCUCACCGGUGCACUCCGCCCGGCUCAGGCCAGCAUCGGUUCUCGCGGGGGGAUAAAGGUCCCGGGAACGUAGCUCCUCCGGGAGUGUUAUAGCCCGGGGCGUAAUGCCCUCGCGGGGACCGAGGUUCGCGCAUCUGCAAGGAUGCUGGCGUAAUGGUCACCAGCGACCCGUCUUGAAACACGGACCAAGGAGUCAAGGUUUUGCGCGAGUGUUUGGGUGUAAAACCCGCACGCGUAAUGAAAGUGAACGUAGGUGAGAGCUUCGGCGCAUCAUCGACCGAUCCUGAUGUAUUCGGAUGGAUUUGAGUAAGAGCGUUAAGCCUUGGACCCGAAAGAUGGUGAACUAUGCUUGGAUAGGGUGAAGCCAGAGGAAACUCUGGUGGAGGCUCGCAGCGGUUCUGACGUGCAAAUCGAUCGUCAAAUCUGAGCAU
rnacentral:rRNA from 2 species